rnacentral:rRNA from 1 species
GACGUAGGGCGCGAGCGUUGUCCGGAUUUAUUGGGCGUAAAGAGCUCGUAGGCGGCUUGUUGCGUCAGCUGUGAAAACCCGCAGCUCAACUGUGGGCUUGCAGCUGAUACGGGCAGGCUUGAGUUCGGUAGGGGAGACUGGAAUUCCUGGUGUAGCGGUGAAAUGCGUAGAUAUCUGGAGGAACACCGGUGGCGAAGGCGGCAUCCUGGACCAACACUGACACUGAUGAGCGAAAGCCAGGGGAGCAAACGGG